rnacentral:misc_RNA from 1 species
UGCUGCUAAAAAUCAGUAAAGCGAAUGUUUAUAUUAGGGAAAGAAUAAGCAUAUUGCCACUGUGCAUAGAAGGAUUUUUUACGUACACUUGAUUGUAGUAAGAGCUACUAUUUCUCAGCGUUUCGGAGCAAUGCAGAUACAACACUGCAAAAUUUUACUUGGGAUGAAAAGACUGACAAAAAGAACUCAAGCUUACAUGGCAUGGGUAGGCACAUUUAGCUACAAGAAGUGGGUUAACCUAAGAUCAGUUUAAGUUUAGAAGAGAGUACCAAUCCAUAUACCUAAAUCAAGCUUGCCGAUGAGAAAUCUUCACAGGCAUUCCUUUUCCAUUGCUUUGUGCCUUUGUCCAUGUGAAGGAAGACUAGUUCCAGAGUCCAAGCUGAGCCCUUGCCUGAGGAGCCUAUGCUUUCUUAAACUCUCAUGGCAUGGAGAAAAGAACUCGUGCUUUAAUGCAUCCUCUGCACUGAUCCUCAAUCUUGGGUUCACUAUCAGGCAUUUGUCCACCAGAUCAAUAAGCGAGCUUGGGAUUAUAUCAAGGAAAUCCCGCCUUUUUGUGUUUAUUUUGCACCAUUCCUGUAGAGUCGUAGAUGGAAAAGACUCUAUUUUAUAUAGUUCCGCUGGGAAUGAGGAUUCCCGGUCAUGUAACUUUGAAACUUCCCACAGAUCUUCACUUCCUCUUAGCUUGGCUAUGUCCUUCAUGUUCUGUUCAGGAUCGCCAUAAAAGGGUGUUCUUCCUAUCAUUAGGUAGAGUAAGGUGACCCCUGCAGACCAAAUAUCAACCUUGGGUCCUUGAUGGGGAGACCUGAACAAGACCUCUGGAGCCCGGAAACCUUUGGUUCCAACACAUGGACCUUCUUUCUUGUGCUUCCCAUCUUUGUUCUUAAUUAAGCAGGUACCAGGACUAGCAAUUCCAGUUGAAUGCAGAGUCAUUGGAGUAAGGUAAAUAAAUCUUUCAUCCACUUUUCGAGGAGGCGCAGCAAUCCUCUUUCUCAUAGAAGCUGGAACACUUGAUCCUUCGCGAUUUGGACUCUGCAUUGCUUCCUGCAACAAGUUGAUGAGUUCCUUCCUACCUUGGCAUGGCAAAGGCUCUCUGGGCCUUUCUACAGAAGGAGUCCUAGUACUUGUCCCAUCCUUCACUGAAGUUAUGCCAGAGCCAUCAGCUCCUUGACUUUUCAUUACAUUAUGACCAUUCAAGUCAUUCUGGGCCUUUGUUCUAUCCACCGCUCUCUUUUUUUGGAUCUUGGAUUCUAAAGUUGUCUUUAAGCUUUUUGUUGCCUCUUGAUUGAAUGCAUCCAAAGAUUUAGCACUUGGAAUCCUACUAUUUUUAGGAGGAGGAAUAGAUUUAGCAUUGGGAAGUGCAACAUGAUUGAAGCAUACAUCAUUCCCUGCUUUUAAUUUGUUUGUUGCUCUGUACUUUUGGCUCAGAUCCAUGGCAAGGUUAAAAUCAAUGAGAUAACCUUUAUUGGCCUUGCGAGAGAAAAGGAAGUUGCCAGGUUUGACAUCUCUGUGGACUAUCCCCUGCUUAUGAAGACUAGCAAGUGCUCUGAACAUGCAAUAACCAUACCAUUGUAGCUGAUAAAUAUUUAUUUCCUUCUUCAACGCCUCUGGUCUAUCAUGCUCAACGUGCUCCAGAACAAAGCAGUCAGAAUUUCCGCUCUUAAUACAGCCUUCAUAUUUUAUGACAAAGUUUUUACCCCCAAAGCGCUCCAGCAUCCUUAGUUCAUUGCUAACGUGGUGCUUAUUAGCAUUUGCAUGAGGGCAUUUAAUGGCAACUGUGGUCCCAUCACUCUUCCUCCGAGCUCUGUAAACAAUGCCAUAACCACCUGAACCUUCUUCCUCUUCUGCAAUAUAAGACUGAAAGCAUGGCAGGCCCUUGGUUUCCACUUGAUCCAUGUGAGAAAAAGAAGCAACAUCCUUCCUGCCAUCUUUAAUAAGCAUAUUGUCACGUUUCCUUGAUUUUUGUGCUUUAGUAAUUGCCACGAGAUUUCUCUUAACUUGAUGGUUUUCUCCAGGAGUGCGUAUUGGCUUACUCCCCUCCAAAGAUUGAUUAACAGCUUGAUGUCUUGGUGGAGUAUUUGCUUCUACAAAAGUGAGCUUCAUCUUGGCAGAGGUUUUCAACAACUGCUUCUUAACUGCUGGGAGCUCAAUCACUGGAAAGAUAUCCUGGUUCUUUGAAAAAGUAGUUGCUCCCUCUUUAUCCAAAGGUCGCAGUUCAUUCAUCCAUUUGCUGUCUCCUUCUAUUGGUGUAUCCAAAAGAGCAGUACCAAUUGGUUGGAAAAAGUUUUCUGCUUCUCCUUUCAAGUUACGAGAACCAAUUAACAGUUCCUCUUCCUUGCAUUUAAUUCCUUCUUUUUGAAUGGAACAAUCAUUUACAGCAUCACAAGCAUCAUUAACACUUGCACACACUUCUGGUAAUAUAGUAAUCUGUUUAAAAUCUUCCCUCCAAAAAGUAGCAUCAAUAUCUGUUCUACUUUUUAAAUCUGCCUCAUCUACUUUAAUUUCUUGGCACACAGCUUGAUUACCCAACAUCUUUCUCAGAAGAGCAGAUUCUUCAUCCAGCUUAGGCGCCAUGAUUCUUUUGUGCUCCUUGCUUUCCACAACACUUGUAUUCAUCUCAUCGUCAACUUGUUCGGCGUUCCUUAGGUUAUAGAUUACACUAUUGCCCAUGGUUUUGCUGAAUAAGGCAGGUGGCAGAAUCAUGUUAUUUGUUUUAUUAGACACGAAACUUGACUCAGCAUUAAUGCUCCUGCUGAUACCUUGAGCUAUCUGGAAGUGCACCUUGGGGUAAGCAUUUCGAAUUCUUUUUAAAGGAAGAGAAACUGAUCCAUAAUUCUCAUCCACUUCUCCAGAAUCAAAUCCGAUCCGCUUCCGCUUCCUGAAGUACACCCUUACAACAUCCUUUAACAUCCCAGGUCCACAGACCUGGGUCCCGAUCGGAGUCAGAAACGAGCCAAUCAAGUUGAUAUUAGAGACAAAUCGUUGAAAAGCGAAAAGGCCUAGAAGCGAAACUGUUACAUGAAGACCGCCGCUGCUGGUAGUUAAAGUGAUGGGUGAGUUAGGAGUGGAGCAGAGAGAUAUGAUAAGAUCGGGAGUGGCUCGGAAGAGAGUGCAUCGGGAUGCGAGCUCGAGAGGUGAAGUUGGGUGACCGAGUGAGAGGAGGAGGGAGAGGAGGUGCCAUGCUUUUUGUGACUCGGAAUCCAUGGAGGUGACAGGGAGCGAGUCGAACGGAACGAGUUGUGAGUGUGGAAGGUGAGUUUGCAUAGCGACUUAGUUGAGGGAUGGAAGUGAGUUUAGGGCUUGAGAUGGAAAUGGAACAUUUGCA